GUGGGAGUAGCUCAGUGGUAGAGCUUCCACUUCAUAUGCGGAAAGACCUGGGCUCGAUUCUCGGCUGCUUCC
rfam:Toxocara canis scaffold308, whole genome shotgun sequence.